AACGAACGCUGGCGGCGUGGUUGAUACAUGCAAGUCGAGCGGGAAAGAGGCCUUCGGGCCUUGAGUAUAGCGGCGGACGGGUGAGUAACGCGUGAUCAAACUGCCCCCGAGACUGGGAUAGCCACUCGAAAGGGUGGGUAAUACCGGAUACGACCCUAGUAUUGCAUGAUGCUAGGAUGAAAAGGUUGGGAUUUUAGGACCUUCUGCUCGGGGAUGUGAUCGCGUCCUAUUAGCUUGUUGGUAGGGUAACGGCCUACCAAGGCAACGAUGGGUAGCCGGCCUGAGAGGGUGAACGGCCACAUUGGGGACUGAGACACGGCCCAGACUCCUACGGGAGGCAGCAGUGCUGAAUCAUUCGCCAAUGCGCGAAAGCGUGACGAUGCGACGCCGCGUGGAGGAUGAAGGCCUUCGGGUUGUAAACUCCUGUCAGGAUAUAGGAAACUGCCGUGGUUAAUAGCCGCGGCAUUGACCAUAUCCAAAGGAAGCACAGGCUAAUCUCGUGCCAGCAGCCGCGGUAAUACGAGAUGUGCAAGCGUUGUUCGGAAUUACUGGGCAUAAAGAGUGCGUAGGCGGUUCGGUCAGUCCAGUGUGAAAUCCCUCGGCUUAACCGGGGAAGUGCAUUAGAUACUGCCGGACUUGAGGAUGAAAGAGGCGAGCGGAAUUCCAGGUGUAGCGGUGGAAUGCGUAGAUAUCUGGGAGAACGCCGAAGGCGAAGGCAGCUUGCUGGGUCAUUUCUGACGCUGAGGCACGAAAGCUAGGGGAGCAAACAGGAUUAGAUACCCUGGUAGUCCUAGCUGUAAACGAUGGGCACUUUGUGCCGGGCCUUACCUAAAGGCUCGGUGCCGGAGCUAAUGCGUUAAGUGCCCCGCCUGGGGAGUACGGUCGCAAGGCUAAAACUCAAAGGAAUUGACGG
rnacentral:rRNA from 1 species